GGUUCCUGUCCAACGUUAAUCGGGGCAGGGUGAGUCGACCCCUAAGGCGAGGCCGAAAGGCGUAGUCGAUGGGAAACAGGUUAAUAUUCCUGUACUUGGUGUUACUGCGAAGGGGGGACGGAGAAGGCUAUGUUGGCCGGGCGACGGUUGUCCCGGUUUAAGCGUGUAGGCUGGUUUUCCAGGCAAAUCCGGAAAAUCAAGGCUGAGGCGUGAUGACGAGGCACUACGGUGCUGAAGCAACAAAUGCCCUGCUUCCAGGAAAAGCCUCUAAGCAUCAGGUAACAUCAAAUCGUACCCCAAACCGACACAGGUGGUCAGGUAGAGAAUACCAAGGCGCUUGAGAGAACUCGGGUGAAGGAACUAGGCAAAAUGGUGCCGUAACUUCGGGAGAA
rnacentral:rRNA from 1 species